rnacentral:rRNA from 1 species
UACGUAGGGGGGCAAGCGUUGUCCGGAAUCAUUGGGCGUAAAGAGCGUGUAGGCGGCCAGAUAAGUCCGCUGUGAAAUCUCGAGGCUCAACUUCGAGCUGUCGGUGGAAACUGUCUGGCUAGAGUCCGGAAGAGGAGAAUGGAAUUCCUGGUGUAGCGGUGGAAUGCGCAGAUAUCAGGAGGAACACCGGUGGCGAAGGCGGGUCUCUGGGCCGAUACUGACGCUGAGGAGCGAAAGCGUGGGGAGCGAACAGG